rnacentral:snRNA from 1 species
CAGUGCUGCAGCUCCUCGGGAACUCAUCUAGCAGGGUUUCUGGUUUUCACCACAGUGUUCCCAC